UUUAAAAUAUAGACCACUAUUUGUACAGUAUAAAUAUUUAUUAAAAACGAAUACCCGCACGGGUGUACAUGCCAUUAUCGGACUUAGAUGCAAAGAAGAACGGUUUUACGAUCAAAUAUAAAAUAGGAGGAAAAGAAAGUGAGGACAAUCCUCUCACCUUUCUUAGAAAGUGAAAUCAAGAUGCAACUUAGGCAACUUUUAGAUUAGAAGGUAUCGAAACUUGCUUCUCGUUUUAUUACAUUGUUCCAUCCAAAUAUCAUAUGACAAAACCAUUCUUGGAAGUCAAAACCCUUUAAGUUUCUUAGUAACUGAUGGUAAGAAAAAUACACAGCAGAGUAGUUAUGGCAUUACAAAAAAAGAGAGACUAACAAUUAACAACUUUGUCACCCUACUUAACAACUUGAGCAUAUAUCACAAAGACAACGAACAUGUCCCAAGACCCGAGCUCGAACAACAAAGUGUACAAUCAAAUUCCGAAAAUC
rnacentral:lncRNA from 1 species